GGGGCAGUCUGGAGGAUGUUAAUGGAUGCAUCCUACCUUAUAAAAGCCAAAUUGGGCAAUCUUCUCCUCAGUCGUGCGAUAGCUGUUCCCUCCCACCUCACCCUUGGAAUAUGAUGUCAGCACCACCUGGUUGGGAACUUCUCUCCCGGCGAUCGGAGCCCGCAUCACGGCUCACCCUAUUGCAGUCGUUUGAAUUCCCUGCAUGGGCUUGUCUGGGCAACACUAACCAGCCCACCCCUCCCCACAUUUUACUUAACGCCUCUCACGAUCGUCGUAGGUCCUGCCAAAUGUCACCCCUCCGUAAACAAGUCGUUGUCAUCGAUUCAACCGGACCGACCAGGCGUAUCGCAUCUCCGUAUAUGUGUAGGGUUCGACCUAUCCCACCGGUUCCAACCCCUUUCUUGCCCCGUUGUCCCACUAUAACCUUUGCCUUUUCCCGAUCGCUGCACAUUUUAUACACUUCCAACUAGUCACAGAGCGGAGUUUUAUAGAUCAUCGCUCAUCUCCACUUCUUUUGGAAGUGUGACUGUAGAAUCAAGAGAAGUGUUGUUCUCGACACUCGAGAACAGUUCAUAAAUAAAAGUAACUCGGUUAUGUAGUUGAAUACCAAAGUGUUUACAUGGCCAUAAAGGACUAAAAACGCCAAUGCUUGAGCUACGGUCAUGGCCUCGAUCGAAUUGCCUCUUCAACGUUAUACUAAUCCCCUCCCCCAAUAAAUUCGCCAGAUCAGUGUAACGUGUUACAGGGUAUACGAAGCCAGAUUGCUAACUACAAAAGUUGUUAUGUUUU